rnacentral:lncRNA from 1 species
UUCUUCUUCUUCUUCUUUCACGCCUCCUCUUAUUUUUCUUCUCCUUCUUCUUUACUUUUUCUGGGUUUUUUAGAUCUUUCAUUCUCUUUUUCUCCAUCAUCAUCAUCAAUAAAACUCUAGAUCUUUUCUUCUUCAUGGAUCUCUCUUCGCACUUCUUUAUAGAUCGGAUCUCUCUUCAUGCUUCUUCUCCAUGGAUUUCUGAGAUUUAAAAAUCAUGGAUCUCUCUUCAAGCUUCUUCUCCAUGGAUUUCUCUUCGUGCUUUCGUCAUUUGUAGUGCACAAUCGUUUGGUGAGAGAAGACGGUCCACAAACUUCGACGAGGAAGGGUGAUGGUGAUAAUCGGCGACAACGAUAGUGAACAAAGCAAGAAGAGACAAAUUAUUGAGUGUGACGGCGCUAGAGUUUAGAAUUAGGGUUUAGAAUUACAAAUUGCUUUGUUUCAGUAGAACCAUUUGUACCAGUUGUCCAUAACUAUUUGUACCAGUUAUACCGAUUUAUAGUUAUACCAUUUGUACCAAUUAUACUAUUAUCUUUUAUUUGUACCAUUUGUACCAGUUCUCCUAUUAUCUCUCAGUUAUACUAUCUGUACCAGUUGUACUAUUAUCUCUUAGUUGUACUAUCAUCUCUUAGUUGUACCAAUCGUCUGAUAUUU